AAGCAAGUUCAUAGUGCCUCUGUGCGUGAUGAGUCGAGCGAUGGAAUCGACCUGGCCAGCCUGGAGAAGGAAGUAGAAGCUGCAGAAAAAUACUGUCAGGCGAUGAAGGAUGAAGUGGUUGCGAUGAGACUGAAAUACGCUGAUCUUUGAUGCUUUCUUAGUCUGUACAUACUAAAUAGUAGUCGAUGGAUUCGCGGUAUGCACCUGGUAGCUGAUCCUCUGAAUCUGAUCCAGAUUCUGGUUAUGAGGUUCAGGUUUCAAUGGACCUUUGGAAAGGUGCCGUACCGCAAACACAACCCGUGUAACGUUGAAUUGGCUGAAACAUGUUUCUUGUUUUUGCUCCUGCAAAUAGGGCCAUUGUGUUAGUGAAACUGAUACUUUAUUAGAGCAUGAUUGUUUUCCGUGAAAUAGAGACAUCUUAUCUUUUGAGCACACUACUGCAUUUUGCCUUUAUGAUUUUCUAACCGUGUCAAAUUUCGAACCCGAGCUUCCUUUCUGAGGCAACGCUAGCUGUCAAAGAAAUUUAGGAGCAGAAUUUUUGGGGGAUGAACUGCUUCUUGGUUAAUCCUUUUGCUUGCCUAGGAGCAGAAUUGCCUGUGACCUUUGCUGAAUAUACUUUACUUAAGAAUCAAUAUGUAGGUCCUAGCUUUUACAUCUUCAGUUUUCAAGUGUUCCAGAUCUUGCCAGCCUUGGGCUGAUCUUGUAUCAAUUGAUUUCGUUUUUUUGUGAUAAAUGGAGCAGGGGAGGUUGCCUCCCUGUUCAUCUAAAAUUAAAUUUACAUCUAUGCUGGUUCAUUAUUCUAUUGAAUUUGCAUAUCAUAACAGUGUCACUAUUAGGAAUAGAACCAUCAAGUCAUCUGACCAUAGUUUAUCUUGUUUUGUUCAGGGCAAAGCGACAAAUCCAACUCAUGAUCAACAACAAGCUGUAGGAUUUUUUGAUGAUGUUGAGGAUGACUUGACAGGACAUGAUAAAUGACUAAACUCGAGGUAAGGGAUGUUAUGAACCAGCCUCUGGAGUUAACGUUGCUAUUCCCUUUCAGUUCAAAGAAGGCUGACUCCUGAUCUUACAAACCAGUAGCGUGAUAUUAAAGUUGCAUCCUUUGAUGUAUAUUAAUCUAAUAUUUCUUAGGUUAUUUGGUCCUUGAAUCCUCAUAACAAAGCUAUUUGGAAAGCCAAACAGCCUCUCAAGAUUAAAUUGUUUUUUUGGCAACUUUUCAG
rnacentral:lncRNA from 1 species